CUGUUUCGUUACUAUUGCUGUCAGUCGACUUCGAUGGAUGAUUAGUACUACAUCUGGGAUUCUUUUCAUCAAGAUUUCUUGAUGAAACUUGUUCAAAAUCAUGUCUUCUAUGCUGUGCUCGUAAAUCAUAACAAUGCAACGGUUGGAUUGUUCUCAAUCAAGUUCAUCCUCGCAAUGGGUCAUGUUCCUACAGUGAUGUUUAGUUUAACCCAUGAGAUCUUCACCUUAAUCUUGCUUCGAAACUUACAAGAGUGCUAAUUGGACUUUGGCCAAGCUUUGGACUGAAAUCAAUGGAGGACCAUAAAGGAAGUUCAUGUGCAUCGAUAUGUCACCAUGAAUUAACAAUCGAGGUAGGGAGGUUCACCCUAGUUAGCAGCUUUUCUGAAUUCUGUAAUUGUUUGUAAAUGCUUUAUAAAAUUUUCUUGUUUGAGUUGAUGAGGAUGACUUGAGAGUGAGCGGGGCAUAGCAACUUCCUUGGGUUUCAAUCCCCUAAACCUCCGAAGGGGCUGUACGGACAUGAUAGUGUCUGACAUCCUUUGAGGUGUGACACUAGAUCUAGGUGGUAUGGCAUAAAUGGACACUCUCGCUACUCUUCACCAAUGGUUGAAGAUUUGUAUCUUUUGUGAGGAUGUAGUUGGCUAGCAUUACACCGGUCAUCAGGUUUGAAUUUUACCAAGUUGGUCUUGUAGGUACUGUGCACGAGGAUUGAGGAGGACUUCGGGACUGAGCUGGGUGUUGUGUUAUCACCUUAAACCUUUCGGUAUAAUUGCAUUCACAUAUUUAAUCACCUCUGUUUUAAUUGUCAUUGUUUCUUUGAGGUGACAGUUUGAUUGUAAUGACCUCAAUCUUUGCUUAUUUCCUUCCGUUAAUUUUUAUUUGGUGUACCAAGUGUUCGAGACCAACUUGAGUUUCAUGAGUCUUAUU